UACAGAGGGGGCAAGCGUUAUUCGGAAUUAUUGGGCGUAAAGGGUGCGUAGGCGGGUCUUUAAGUCAGGGGUGAAAUCCUGGAGCUCAACUCCAGAACUGCCUUUGAUACUGAAGAUCUUGAGUUCGGGAGAGGUGAGUGGAACUGCGAGUGUAGAGGUGAAAUUCGUAGAUAUUCGCAAGAACACCAGUGGCGAAGGCGGCUCACUGGCCCGAUACUGACGCUGAGGCACGAAAGCGUGGGGAGCAAACAGG
rnacentral:rRNA from 1 species